rnacentral:tRNA from 2 species
GGGGUUGUAGCUCAAAAGGAUAGAGCGUUGCCCUCCUAAGGCAAAGGUUGCCGGUUCGAUUCCGGCCAACCCCA